AUGUUUCUUCCUCUUGUUGCCUCCUCCUCUGCAUCCACCGCCUCCACCAGCUUCUUCUCCGGCUCCGGCCGCUCCUUCCUCCCAGAUGCUUGUGUUCACAGCAAGGCGGGAUUGCGGUAUGGAUCGAGUCCCCUCCUCGUGCGCUCGUCGUCGGCCACUCCUCCGUCGCGUCAUCGCUUCCGACGAGCACCCACCGGCGGCAGAACCGUCGUCGUUGCAGCUGCAGCUGCUGACAGCAGCUACUGCCUAACAGCAAAAGAUAUACGUUGUGUGGUGAUGGACAUCGAGGGCACCACCACCCCCAUCUCCUUCGUCGCCGACGUGCUCUUCCCCUACGCGCGCGCCAACGCCCGCGCCCACCUCGCCGCCACAUACCACACCCAGCAGACCCGGGAAGAUGUCGCCCUCCUCCGUGCACAAAUCAACAAGGACCUCGCCGAGGGGGUCCCCGGCGCCGUCCCACUCCCACCGUCCAACGCCACCGACCAGGACAAGGUCAUCGACGCCCUGGUGGCCAACGUGCAGGCCAUGAUCGACGCAGACCGGAAGCUCACGGCGCUCAAGCAGCUGCAGGGCCGCGUGUGGCGGCGCGGCUUCAAGAGCGGCGAGAUCAAGGGGGAAGUCUACAACGACGUCGUCCAAGCUCUCGCGGAGUGGGACACGAAAGGCAUCAAGAGCUACAUCUACUCCAGCGGAAGCAGGGAGGCGCAGCGGCUCAUCUUCGGCAACACCGCCGACCACGGCGACCUCCGGCGGUACCUCUCCGCCUUCUUCGACACCAACGUCGGAGGCAAGAAAGAGUCUCGCAGUUACUACGAGAUCUGGCAGACCCUCGGCGUCGACAGCCCGUCCCAGAUACUCUUCCUGACCGAUGUCUACCAAGAAGCCACCGCUGCAAGGGAUGCAGGCCUUAAGGUGCUGAUAUCGAUCAGACCUGGAAACGCGCCGCUCCCUGAGGAUCACGGCUUCCAGACCAUCACGUCGUUUGCUCAGAUCUCCACCUGA
rnacentral:rRNA from 1 species